GAUGAACGCUAGCUACAGGCUUAACACAUGCAAGUCGAGGGGAAACGAUAGAGAAAGCUUGCUUUUUCUAGGCGUCGACCGGCGCACGGGUGAGUAACGCGUAUCCAACCUGCCCACCACUUGGGGAUAACCUUGCGAAAGUAAGACUAAUACCCAAUGACGUCUCUAGAAGACAUCUGAAAGAGAUUAAAGAUUUAUCGGUGAUGGAUGGGGAUGCGUCUGAUUAGCUUGUUGGCGGGGUAACGGCCCACCAAGGCGACGAUCAGUAGGGGUUCUGAGAGGAAGGUCCCCCCANAUUGGAACUGAGACACGGUCCAAAACUCCUACGGGAGCAGCAGUGAGGAAUAUUGGUCAAAUGGACGAGAGUCUGAACCAGCCAAGUAGCGUGCAGGAUGACGGCCCUAUGGGUUGUAAACUGCUUUUAUAAGGGAUAAAGUGAGUCUCGUGAGACUUUUUGCAUGUACCUUAUGAAUAAGGACCGGCUAAUCCGUGCCAGCAG
rnacentral:rRNA from 1 species